GUUUUGUCAGGUAAAGCGAAUGAUUAGAGGUUCCGGGGAAGUAACUUCCUCGACCUAUUCUCAAACUUUAAAUGGGCAAGAUCCAGUAGUUACUUAAUUGAACUAUUGGGGUCAAUGAGACGACUCUAAGUGGGCCAUUUUUGGUAAGCAGAACUGGCGAUGAGGGAUGAACCUAACGCUCGGUUAAGGUGCUAAACUGCUCGCUCAUCAGAUACCACAAAGGGUGUUGGUCGAUCUUAACAGCAGGACGGUGGUCAUGGAAGUCGAAAUCCGCUAAGGAGUGUGUAACAACUCACCUGCCGAAUCGACUAGCCCCGAAAAUGGAUAGCGCUGAAGCGAGUGACCGAUACCGGGCCAUUGUUGCAAGAUAAUUGGCAACAAUGAGUAGGAGGGCGUGGGGGUUGUGAAGAAGCUUGGACGUGAGUCUGAGUGAAACAGCUUCCAGUGCAGAUCUUGGUGGUAGUAGCAAGUAUUCAAUAAGAGAACAUUGAAGGCCGAAGUGGGGAAGGGUUCCAUGUGAACAGCACUUGGACAUGGGUUAGCCGAUCCUGAGAGACAGGUUAAAUUCCAUCGGAUUGGAGCUUUGGCUCUGUUUCUCGAAAGGGAAGCUGGUUAGUAUUCCAGCGCCGAGACGUGGAUAAUAUGUGGCAACACAAGUGAACUCGGACACGCCAUAGGGGACCCCAGGAAGCGUUGUCUUUUCUUUUUAACAGUUCGACUUACCCUGGAAUCAGAUCAUCUGGAGAUAGGGUUUUCGAACUGGAAUAGCACCUUGUCUAACAGGGUGUCUGGAGUGUUCUCGCUGGCCCUUGAAAAUCCGAGGGAUAGAUUUAUUCGCACUCUCGAUCGUACCCAUAACCGCAUCAGUCUCCAAGUUAGAAGCCUCUGGUCCGUAGACAAAGUAGAUAAGGAGUCGCAAAUAGUCCGUACUUCGGAAAGGACUGGCUCUGAGUUUGUAUGUGACUGAUAUCGUGAGUCGAGCAGAGACUACUGUGCUCACGUGACUGUGGACUCUGCUGAUACUCAUGAUCAGCUGCU
rnacentral:ncRNA from 1 species